CAGCAGCCACGGUAAUACGAAGGGUGCAAGCGUUACUCGGAAUUACUGGGCGUAAAGCGUGCGUAGGUGGUGGUUUAAGUCCGUUGUGAAAGCCCUGGGCUCAACCUGGGAAUUGCAGUGGAUACUGGGUCACUAGAGUGUGGUAGAGGAUAGUGGAAUUUCCGGUGUAGCAGUGAAAUGCGUAGAGAUCGGAAGGAACAUCUGUGGCGAAGGCGACUAUCUGGGCCAACACUGACACUGAGGCACGAAAGCGUGGGGAGCAAACAGGAUUAGAUACCCCUGUAGUCCCUGUCUCUUAUAA
rnacentral:rRNA from 1 species